rnacentral:rRNA from 1 species
CCUACGGGGGGCAGCAGUGAGGAAUAUUGGUCAAUGGACGAGAGUCUGAACCAGCCAAGUAGCGUGAAGGAUGACUGCCCUAUGGGUUGUAAACUUCUUUUAUAUGGGAAUAAAGUGAGGAACGUGUUCCUUUUUGUAUGUACCAUAUGAAUAAGCAUCGGCUAACUCCGUGCCAGCAGCCGCGGUAAUACGGAGGAUGCGAGCGUUAUCCGGAUUUAUUGGGUUUAAAGGGUGCGUAGGUGGUUAAUUAAGUCAGCGGUGAAAGUUUGUGGCUCAACCAUAAAAUUGCCGUUGAAACUGGUUGACUUGAGGAUAGUUGAGGUAGGCGGAAUGCGUGGUGUAGCGGUGAAAUGCAUAGAUAUCACGCAGAACUCCGAUUGCGAAGGCAGCUUACUAAACUAUAACUGACACUGAAGCACGAAAGCGUGGGGAUCAAACAGGAUUAGAUACCCCUGUAGUC